rnacentral:rRNA from 1 species
GUCUACGGCCAUGCCACCCUGAAUGUGCCCGAUCUUGUCUGAUCUUGGAAGCUAAGCAGGGUUGGGCCUGGUUAGUACUUGGAUGGGAGACCACCUAAGAAGGCCAGGUGCUGUAGGCA